rnacentral:lncRNA from 1 species
GGAAAAUUCUUAUGGCACAAAUGAAUCUCUUGUUUAUUUGAUAUUGGAGCAAGGCUUAAUUUAUGCUCCCCAAAAGAAAAGUGGAUACUGACCUGAAGGUUAUGGGGUAUCGGCUAAUAUGCAAUGAAGAGUGACAGAAUUUGGAUAAAAACGUUGUCGCAAAUUGCAUUUAUAUGUAUUUUUUACCAAGAAAUAGUCUGCUUUCUUAAUUCACCAACACUGCAGUACGACAGAUCUGGGUUCAGCACUUGUUUCAGUAGUCCUCAUCAUUGCCAUUGGUAUCAUGAGUAACGCUAUGGCUAAACGGAAAAAGAGGGAGUCUUAAACGUGAUCCUGUGCCUUAUCCAGAACCAUCCACAAAUGAAUUUUCUGAAAAAAAAUAAAAAAAAUAGAUGAAUAUUGUAUGUGACACCAAGAUAAAUUAAUGUUUUCUUUUUAUAGUACGAGCACCUGUCUUUAUUUUCCCUACCACUUAUAAUUAAUCUGAAAAAAGAUCUCAAAUAAAAAAAAACAAGAAUGUGUCCACAGUACACGGAUGCCCCACUCGCACUAUCAUUUUCUAUGUUUAGUGGACCGUGAAAUUGGAAUAAAUUCUCUAAUUUGGCAUUAAAAUUAGAAUGAUGUUAUAAAAGGGAACAUGUAUACUAAGUUUCAAGUUGAUUGGACUUCUACUUUAUCAAAAACUACCUUGACCAAAAACUUUAACCUGAAAUUUGCACUAUCAUUUUCUAUGUUCAGUGAACCCAAUGCUCUCCAAGUAAGGCGUCAAAUUAAGUUCGAAGAAAGAUUUGAUAACAUUCAUCUCGUAAUGUCCUA